rnacentral:lncRNA from 1 species
GAAGUUAAACAUAUCUUGCAAUGGUCGUAAGAAUUCUUCAAUGUCAUGGAGAGUAUUCAAGCUGAAGUUUUUGCGUAAUCGUUUAACUAUUGAUUGUUAUUAGCUUUAAGUAAGAAGGACAUUGCAAUAGCAUUCUCGGCUUGAAUUUUGAUUUGCUAAUUACCUUUCACUAAAUCAUGAUUGUUCCCUGUGAUAUUUUUAAUCAAAAGCUAAUUGUUUCUCUGCCUUUGAUUGGUAGUUUUUGAGGUGUUACUGUUAUGUGUAGCAAUAUUAUGCAAUGGAAGGUAAACUUGUACAUUUUAAUAUUGUCUCACAUCUUUGCAAUGAUCAUAAGCAUUUUUCAAGUCUCUGGUGGUGAAUCCAACCUUAUGUUCUGAUGAAUCAUUUCACUCCUUUUCUAGAAAGAAUCCUGCAGGUACUGAGAACACUAAAAUAACGUUCUAUUGAUGAUGAUGUAAAACGAUGAGAAUUUGGCCAAUUAUUUAAUUUGAUUUUUUAUAUUGCCUGUUACUUUCUCCACUGUUGUUUAGAGUGGAGUUCUUAGCCUAUGUUCUUCCAAGCAUGUUUGCCUUGAGCUAAAUGUAGUACCUGUGGGAUUUACAAUUGAAAGAUACACAGUAUGAUGAAGGCAACAUUGGUUCUUAAUGGCUUACUGUGGAUGGAUGCUAAGAUGUUCCAUAAAUGUACUUAAAUACUUUGGGUCUCAUUUGACAUAACAAAAGGUUUGUUGUAAGUGCAAUGCCUUUUGUGCCAUGGUGCAGGUGGGAGCUAAACACAAUGAUAAUAUCUAUAUUAAGAUAAAGUGGAUGAGGCAAAUGUUAAUUUUGUUGGUGGAUAUUUCAUGGUAGUCUAAUCAUAAGUGUGAGAAGAUUGGAUGAAAGAAACAGAUCAAGAGUCCUCCUCAUAGAUAUGGAAUUUAUUUUGUGUGAAGUCCUCAUCUUUAUGCAAACAUAUUUUUUUGUCAUCAAUGAUGAUUGUGGUUAACUAUUUAACUCUAUACAUGUAAAAGAAUAAUAUAUAUAUAAUUAAUUAAUAAACAGUCAAAUUUAAUUAAAAUAUUAUUUAAUUCAUGAUCAACAUCUCUGCAUCGAUCAGUGGACAAUCUCUCCUCUUUUUGCAUGAGGAUCAUCGACAAUAGUCGAUGGGCAAGGUAACUAAUGUUUGAAUUAUCAAGCGGACGAUGAGAAGAUAAUGAGGUAUAAUUGAUGAGAUAAAAAUAUGAUGAAAAUUAUGUAAAAGUACAGUAAGAAACGAUGAUCGAUAGAAGUUAAAUGAAUAUUAAAAAAAUAUUUUAAUUUUUUUUAAAUUUAGGCAAUUUCAUAAGAAAAUUUCAAUGUUUAUUAAAAAAAAAGAAUUCGUCCGAUGAUCAAAUCACUUUUCUCAUGAAAAGAGUGUUUUCUUAUGGAGAGAUAAAAUUAUAUAAAUAUUUUGUCGACCAUUUUAUCCAUAUUUAUGAUAUAAAUAAAUUAUUCCUGCAGUUUUGUAUUUCUUGUGCAUAGCGAAGCUUAUACACACUAUAUGUAGGAAUUAGGGUACCCCUCUCAAAUCUCUUUGUUCUCCCACAAUGGCGGCUCCGACGCUCCGCUCCGUACUACGCCGCAAUCGCCUCCUGCCCUUGUUCGAAACCUGCCACCUUCGAGAUCGCCUCUUCUUCUCUUCCUCUGUCGACGCUGCCGCCGUCACCGUAGGCGGCACCAUGUCUCCAGAUCCCCACUUCAUGGUGGAAUACCUCGUAAACUCCUGUGGGUUCUCCCCCUCCGAGGCAGCCAAGUUCUCUAAACCCCUUGCGCGCCUCCGAUCCACCGAGAAUCCCGACGCCGUCCUUAACUUCAUGAGAUCUCAGGGCUUCGACGGCGCCGGUAUCAGGAAGGUGAUAUCUGCGGAUCCCAGAUACUUAUGCUGCAACGUGGAGAAGAACUUCAGCCCGAAGUUUCAGUUCUUACGUGAUUUGGGCCUAUCGGAGUCGGAUAUCGUCGAUGCCAUCCUGAAGAACGAUGUUAUUCUGCGCCUCGACGUUCACCGUUCCUUGGUCCCCAAAUUGGAGAUGUGGGAAAGUCUCUUGGGAUCGAGAGAGCUCGUUCUCAAGCAUCUCAAGAAGACAACACGGUUUUUCCACUCCAGCGUUGAGAAGACAUUGCAUCCUAACCUAAAGUUCUUGAGGGAUGAGUGCGGCAUUCCUGAAGAAAGGGUCUCUGUCGUCUUGAGAAGUCGCCCACAUUUAUUCUCGCAGAAACCAGAGUCUCUCCGAGCUUUGGUGGUGAGAGCCGAUGAGCUGGGGAUACCACGGCAAUCUCGGAUGUUCAUGUGGACCCUUCAUGUUUUCCACAACGUAAGCAAAGAAAAGUUCGAGUCCAAGGGCGAGCUCAUGAGGAGCUUCGGGUGGUCGGAGUCGGAGUUUUCUUCUGCAGUCAUGAAAAAUCCCACCUUCUUAUGCAUCUCCCUCGAUAUGUUGCGCAGAAAAGUGGAAUUUUUUAUCAAUGUAGUCGGGUACACCCCUUCCUUCAUCGCCUCCCAUCCAAAUCUCUUGCUAUUGAGUAUGCAGAAGACGGUAAUUCCUCGGUUUCGUGUUUUGGAGAUGUUGAAUACGAAAGGCUUGUGGACUCGACGAGGCAAGUUUUUGUCCUAUGUGACAUUAUCAAAUACAAAAUUCAUGGAGAAGAUUGUUCUACCCUACAAAGAAAAGGUUCCUGAGCUUCUUGAUAUUUUGAGAGCAGGUGAGUGUGAAGGGAAAUGAGCCUUUUAUUUGGUAUCAGAGGAGGAUGAGAAGGGCUUAGCUGAUGGUCUAACUCACGUGUGAAUUUCUCAACAGGAGAUGAGCAGUGAUUCGGCACCUUUUUCCUUGACAACGAGCUGUCUUACAUCAACCACCAGCCUUGGCUACUGAGGUGCAGUCCAGUGAAAGAAUUAUUCCUUGGUGUCAUAUGGUAGUAAUGUUGUAAUUGGAAGGUCUAUGCAGUGGCCAACACAAAAUGUCUUCCAGUUUUACUCAUUAAGGUUCAUGGAAAAGUCUGUUCUUUUUUGCAAAGCAGUAAGCCCCUGGCCUGUUUGAAAUCUCUGAUUGAUGAAGGUAGAUUAUUCCCCUAGUUUGAGAUUUUGGAAAUAGAAUGCAAAUGGCUUCUCUAAAAUUCUAUUGAGGUGUGAGAUUCUUCUCAUGUGACAUGCUAGAUUGGCAUUGUUUUUGUCUUACUAAAUGUUUGCUUGAAUCAUUUUCUGAUUUUGUUUGGCACACUAUUGUUGGUUUGUAUGUGAAUUGCAGGUUUUAGAAAUUCUGCUCAGCAAUUCAACCGAGAUGAUUUUGGAUCUUAUGAACUUUUGGAUUAUGUGCAAAUUGAUUCCGAAUUGUCAUGGACAAAACUAUAAACGAGGUUUUGAUGUAAUGCUCAUAUAUGUCUGUGCAUUUUGGUUUUGUUCAUGCUUUGGAUAGCAUGUAAAGUGUUGACAAUAGGUUUAGUAGUCUCAUUUUCUUUGGUUUUGACGGCUAUCUUAGGCUUGCAAAUAAAGAUUGUGUCCUGUUGGCACUUUUGAGGAAUUCCGUUUGUAGUAGACCAUUUUGGACACUUUUGUUGUGCGAUCAUUCAAAGUUUUUAAGUCUGUCUGUAAUUUGCAUUGGCUAUAAAGUCAUUUGGAUCCCGAUUGUGAUAUUUUUUCUAACACAUUUUCUUUUUUGUAGGUUAUAAGGACCAUAGGAGGUUAUAAGUAGACCUUUUCGGAUGGAUGCGUAAGAGAGUUGCACGAUUUUGGUAAAACCAACUAAGUACGUGACAUAUGGUCUCAAAGCGGGAAAAUCACUUAUAAAAACACUUGGCAAACAAACGUGGGGAACCUAGCGGGGUUACGUUGAGAGUAGCCAGCAAGCAAGAUUGUUUGGGGGAAACUAACAUGGAGAUAUAGGAAAAAAGAAUCGCUCAGAAAAACGAAUAUCUGAGAUUGACAUUUAGAGAAAUAGCUAAUCCUUUGCUCAAGAGGCAUCACGAAGACAAGUAAGCUGGGAAGAAUGUGUAAUGCACAAAGGUUGGAAUGGCUGAGUUCGAGCUACGGCUCGAUAUUGGUAACCAUAAUAGUGUUCAAGGCAAGCGAGACGCUUGGUUAAGGAUGAGACAAUGCAAGAUGUAAUGAGUUAUUCAGCAACCGAAAGAGUUGUGAAAGGUUCACAAAGGUGAGGGGAAUUGUUAACUCGAAGAAUUCGGUACUAAGGGCUUGUAUGCGGACGAUGGAAUGUUCGUGGUCAUCCUAAGGCGAUCGAAACUCGGCACCAUGGAGCAUUGAAACUUUCUCAUCGGCAUGAGAAUGAUACAUCCGUAUAAGGUUGAAGUGUGCAACGAGUUCAAUAUGUUGCUAGGCCUUGGGGUGCAGUAGGGGUUGUAUUGAUGUGGAGUCACAAUCUAACAAGUGCGUUUGCGGGGGCAGAACAAUGCACAGUUUGUUCAGCAAGAUAGAGUAGUCUAAGAGGAUGGUGGUCUCUGAAACUUCCAGAGGGAAAGAUGCGAAGAGAGAAGUUGCUUCAUCGGGACAGAUACCUUGGAGGGAUUAGUCUCGGUUCUCUAGAGGGAGAAUUAUGUGCAACAGACCGUACAUAUUCAGGAGGAGUAUCUCAAAACAACAUCACAAAGCUUAACGGNNNNNNNNNNNNNNNNNNNNGGUGCCAAAGAUGAAGGGAGCUUCAAGGCACAUGCACCCUAUCUCGGAGAAGCAUUUGACAGAGGAACCAAGGCGACUCAACUUGCAGAAGCAAAGUUGGGUUCAUAAGGCUUUGGAAUGGAACAAGAGGACGCGGAGGUCGGUACUCUUGAAGAAUAUGCCACAAUACUGUCAUUCAAGUUGCCAUGAAGGAAGCGGUGCGUAGCGGAGAUUGUGUUGGUGGGGCAAAGGCCCAGGAUCUAGACAAUAGCGCAUUAUUUUCAACAAGGUCGGUGGACUUCAAGAGCUACUAGGCGACGGACUAUCCUAGAACGGUGCUUCAUUUGGGUGUGAUCAAAAAGCAGGUGGACGAAAGUUGAUUGCCAAAGAAGCGAACAUAAUCGAAGGUGGAAGAAGCCCUGCGAUGUGUUGGCAGAGGCCACACAAGAAGGGAUCACAAUCCGAGUUCAUCCUACAAUGAUCAGAAUGUAAUGGAGAUGCUACCAGGAGGCGACAUGGUGCAGCAGAUCGUGGUGGAAUAAUUCGUGACAAUGCGAUAUACACAAAACUAGUCCCGCGAGGGACUAGAUCAUACGAAGAUAUGAUUGGGAGCUCAACUUCGGUAAAUAAUACGAUGACAAGACAUCCUUGGUGUCUCAAGUUUAAGGACCAGAUACAACACUAGGACAAUUGAAUCACUGUUUGACAAUUAGAUAUAAUCAACAAUCCAACGUUUCAUGAGCGGAUCAAUUAGUGAACUCAUUCUCUAAUGAGCACCUGCGUUGUAUCCCUAGUGUCCCCACACGAGUAACUAUGAGACAUGUGGCCUCCGUUAUAUGGAUGGAUGUACAACAUCCUGGUCUAUUUGGUCAUCUCGAUGUCCCUCUCGAGUAACCUUUAACUCCAUCUCGAGUAACCUAUGACUGAGAUUAUUUAGGGUUUAUAUUUAAAAACGAAUCUGUCUCAUUAUCGUGAUCUUAUCACGAUCCAAUUUCUAUUGCAUAGAUCUAUAGACAUCACAAUACAUACAACAAAUAAUAUAAAGUGAAAAAAAUAUCAAAUAAAAAAUUAAUAAAAAAAUAUGUAUCAUGACACCCAUUCAAUCACACAUAUGAUUGGCUUGUAGGGUACCUAUGAUUAGCACGAAUGAGCACUCCCCCAAUAGUGAACGAAGAUGCUUCAUUCUAUAGGAUGAUUUUAUGUUCUCCGAAUAGGGAGAAAUCUAUUUCGCACUAGCAACAAUGGAUAGAGUGAUAUUCCUCAAAUGUCAAAGUAGGGAUACAUUUCUCCUAAUAGCGGAUGGAGGACAUCUAACAACCUACUAAUUCCUGAAAGAAAUCACCCUAUCUGCCCUUUUUAAGGAAACAAAAUCAUCUUAUAUUGAUAAUUUCCAUCGAGAUAAAAUAACAUAUUAAAACAUCUUAAUUUAUCUUUUAAAUAUUAUUAUUAUCAAAUAAUAUCAAUUAGUCUUUAAUUGAUUUGAAUCAUUAUUUAAUCGAUCUAAUUGAAUUAGAUUUAACUAUAACAUAAUUGAAUUAAUUUUUAAUUCUCAUUUAAUCGAUCCAAAAUCAUCUUGUACUAAUAUAAUUUAGAUUAGAUUAAGUUUAAUUUACGUUAAAUAGAUUUAAAUAAAUCAAAUCUAUUCAGAAUCACCUUCAAUCGAUUUAAAUUUAUCAAAUUAGAUUUGGCUUAAUUGAACAUAAAUAAAAUAAAAUAAAGGUAAUAAGUUAAACUUUAUAGUAAUAGGAUAGAUUAAGCUAACCGAUAUAUGCAUGACUAUGCAUGUACCUUAUCAUUAUGUUAGCUCGUAGCCUAUGGACUAAUCAUGUGCAUUGCCCAUGUUGGAUCGAAUUGAACUAGCAGCUAGGCUUAGCCUUUUGGUUGAGUCUAAUCUACGGGUUGUGGUUUAGCUUGUGGGCAGAGCCUAAGCUAAGAGCCUGAUUUACUAAGCAGAUUUCAACCUAAAUCUUAAUUAUUUUUUUAAUUUUAAAUUAUAGCAUCAUGAAAUUAUAAUCAAAACACUUAACUAUUACCAAUGAGUCAUUAAAACAUAAUAAAUAGUUAUAGAUUAAAAAUAUAUAAUUACGUUGAAGGGAAAUUAAUAUUUUUACUCAACUAUUAUACAAAUUUAAUCGAAAUUGAAUAUUACAACUAGUAUGGUGCAUGCAAAAUACAAAUUUUAAAAAUUAUUAUACUAUGAAUAAUUAUAAUAUAUUUUAAUCAAAAAAUAAAAAUUUAAGUACUUGAAUAAAUAGAGAAAAUAUUAGAAACUAUAUAUAGUAUGAAUAAUUAUAAUAUAUUUAAUCAAAAAAUAAAAUUUUAAACACUUAGAGAUAAAAUAAAAUAUUAAUUUUUUAAAAAAUAUAGAAGCGAAAGGAAACAUCUUAUUAAAUAAAAAGAGCCGAGCCCUUCAAGGUAAUAAAUUUUUUAAUUUUUAUAAUUCUUUAAUAUAUAUAUAUAAUUAAUAAAAAUAAUAUCACUAACUUAAAAUAUUGAGUAUUUAUUUUAUAAAUUUUAUUCAUAAGAAAAGAAAGUGAAUAAUUAUACUUAAAGAUUUGAGUAAAGAUGAAAUGGUCAAAUUAGUAUUUUAAGAUCAUUUUAUCCAUAUUUUUGAUAUAAAUAAUUUAUUCCUAUAAUUUUGUAUUUCUUGUGCAUAGUGAAGGUUAUACACACUACGGAUAAGGAGGGUUGUUGUAAUUAGGGUGCCGCUGUGGCUGCUCUCGUCCCACAAUGGUUGCUGCGACGCUCCGCUCCAUACUCCGUCGUAAUAGUCUUCUGCCCUUGUUCGAAACCUGUCGCCUUCGAGAUCUCCUCUUCUUCUCCUCCUAUGUCGACAUUGCUUUCGCCGUAUGCGGCACCACAUCUCCUGAUCCCCACUUCGUGAUGGAAUACCUCGUGAACUCCUGCGGAUUCUCCCCCUCCGAGGUAGCCAAGUUCUCUAAACCCAUUACUUACCUCCGAUCCACCGAUAAACCCGACGUCGUCCUUAACUUCAUGAGAUCUCAGUGCUUCAAUGGUGUCGGUAUCAGGAAGCUGAUAUCUUGGAAAGCCAGUUACCUAUGCAUGAAUGUGGAGAAGAACUUGGCCCCGAAGUUUCUUUUCUUACUCGAUUUGGGCCUAUUGGAGUCGGAUAUCGUCGAUGUCAUCUUGAAGAACCAUGUCAUCCUCCUCCUCAACGUUCACCAUUCCUUCGUUGCCAAAUUAGAGAUGUGGGAAAGUCUCUUGGGAUCGAGAGAGCUCGUUCUCAAGCAUCUCAAGAAGACAGGAUGGUUUUUCUUCUUCAGCUUUGAGAAGACAUUGCAUCCUAACCUAAAGUUCUUGAGGGAUGAGUGCGGCAUUCCUGAAAAAAGGGCCUCUCUCGUCUUGAGAAGUCACCCACAAUUAAUCUCACAGAAACCAGAGUCACUACGAGCUUUGGUGGCGAGAGCCGAUGAGCUGGGGAUGCCAUGGCUAUCUCGGAUGUUUGUGCGGACACUUAUGUUCUCCAAAUGGUAAGUAAAGAAAUGUUCGAGGCCAGGGUCGAGCUCAUGAUGAGCUACGGGUGGUCGGAGUCGGAGUUUUCUUUUGCAGUCAGGAAAGCACCCACCUUCUUAGGCAUGUCCCUCGAUAUGAUGUGCAGAAAAAUGAAAUUUUUCUAUCCAAAACCAAGCAUCGGUUAAAAUGAAUGUAGACUUGGAGGAGUGCCACAGAGGCAUAUCUACCGAUCGUAAAGAAUGAGAUGAAGAUGCGAGGUGAUGGAUAGUAGGGUCAUGGGUAUGGUAGCGUCAUGAUACCGCAAAGGCGGGACUUUCAUGAAGUCAUCGAUCCCUUGCUCUUAUAGAGGGAGAGCGCUUGGUCGUGAAAGGGAUCGGGAAGGUGGAGAAUGCAGAGACAAACAACAAUUACCGAGACAAGAUUGAAGGGCAGAGAUCAGGAAACUUCGUAAGACUGAUGUUAACCAUCUUCUCAUUAAGAUAGUUGAAAGUAAAUGACUUCAGGUUGAUGCAAGAGUGUUCAACCGAGGAAUAAAGUAGGCAGUACAUGGUGUUGUACCUUUGCAACUCAGUAGGAGUAGGCAACAAAGAUGAUGGAGAAGACGAGUACAAUCACAGUGGCGACCAAAACUAUUAGGGAUAUGCUCGAAGUUGGGGUGAAAACUUCUUGCAUUCCAGAAGUUCAAUAGCAUUGAGAAGGUGAAUUACAGUAGCUAACUCAACGUAAGGAGUACAAACACUUCGAAUGCUUCAUAAGUAUGAGCAAAGAGCAUGUGAAAGCUAGUAAUCAGCUCGAUGCAUGGAAUACAACCCUCGAGGAGGCAGGCGAAGUCAAGUAACCUUUGCCUUCUUAACUCUUAAGAGAAUGGGCGAAACCGAGUACUUCAAUUCUCUUAUCUAUCCAGUAGAGAAGCUCUACACAAGUUCAAAGACCCUUCGAAGAAAUCUAAUGGAAGACAAUAGUUGUCAAAUUCUCACCAAUGGUGAUCAGUGCCACUAAGAAUAGACUAUCCGUUUCAUUUCUUAACAGAAUGCCAAUUGAAAGCGGAAGUGGUGCGAACCUACUUGGAAGUGACGACGAAGUGGAAGAAGAAUCGAUAGACAAAUUUUAUAAAGGAAGGACCCAAAAAUUUUAAAGUUUGUGAGGCGAUGCUCGCUAAAGCUCCAACAAGCAUCCACUUAGUUCAAGCAGCACGAAGCAUUUGAGAGACGAGCGCAUACUAAGAAUGGUCUUUUCCUUCAUCUGAGGGAUCCACGGGAAACAACAGGAAUCAGCACAACUUAGUCGACCUCACACCAAAGUCAGAGUUAUUAGCGAGUUGAAACAGCAUGGCGGAUCAAAGCCGACUACUCAACAACAACGACGGAGUGCAGUUGGGAGCCAUGAGGCGCAUUGCAACUGGAGCACAAGAUUGAAGACUUAACAAAGGCGAGGAGAUGCAGCGUCUGCAAAGGUUUCGACGAGGAUGUUGAAAGAAUAAGUGGGGGAGAAUGUUACGGACAAAACUAUAAACAAGGUGUUUGAUGUAAUGCUCAUGUAUAUCUGUGUCUUUCGGUUUUGUACAUGCUUUGCAUAGCAUGUAAAUGGAUGAUAGUAGGCUUAGCAGCCUCAUUUUCUUUGGUUUUGGUGGCCAUCUUAGGCUUGCAAACAAAGAUUGUGUCAUGUGGGCACUUGCGGGGAUUUCAGUCUGUAGUUGACCAUUUUGGACCCUUUGCUGUGCGACCGUUUAAAGUUUGUGAAGUCUAUUUAUAAUUUGCAUUGGCUAUGAAGUGCUUGUUGGAAUGAUUACAUGUGGAUCCCGAGUGAGAUGCUUUCUCUACCCCGUUUUCUCUUUUUUAGGUCCGAAGGGACAAUACGAGGUUUCAGGGAGGUUGACCUUCGCGAAUGGACACACGAGGGUGCUGCACAACUUUGGCAAAGCCAGCUAAAUACCUGACAGAACGGGUAUUAGGUCUGUCCAAAUUAAUUCCGGAUGAGUUUUUGGUUGUUGGGUGAGUGUCAAAGAGCUAUGUUUCAGAUCAAGUUAUGCAGUAUGUAUAUAUCACCAAAGAUCACAAAAAGUUACAUGGAGUAGUAUUUGCUCUAAUGAUUUUAGUAGCUGAAAAAAAUUUAAACACCAAAGUGUUGUUUCUAUAAUUUGUUUUAAGUGAGUUUUUACGGAUUUAUGGAUUUGGAUGUCUUCAAGGAGGUGUUAUCUUGUCCGUUGAGCUUCUUUGCAAACUUAUUCGUGUGCUAAUUGGAAGAUUUCAUUUCUGUUUCUUUUAUGUAUUGUGAUAUUUGCAUGCAGGGGCCUCAAUGGAAUUUGCAAGACCAGUUGCUGUGUUGAUCAGGAUUACCAUUGGUACUCACCCAUUUGUUUUGCAUGUAAGAAGGUGUCACUUUGCUUGCAGGUUGAAUGGACUUCAGAGAAUCAAAACUUGAGUAUGAUAUCCUGAAAUGUCUUCAGCCUCAUUGGAAUUGUUGCUCAGGCAUUUCCUGCAUCAACAAACUCUAACAUGCAAACUAAUUUAUAUGCCUAAACAUUUUAAAAUUGACAAAAAAUGUGUAUUUCAAAUUUCUGUAAUUGUCUUUACGUUUUGUUGUAGAGUUAAUGAUCAUUACAUCACAAGGUUUUAUGUCCUGCAUUUAGUGCAGAAAUGACUACUUAUGAUUGUGCACACUAUCCUGACCCAUUCACAGCUACCUUGUUUCCGCCUCUCCAUGCAAUUGUGCAUAUUUUUAAUAUCACAGUUCAGAUAAGAUCAUAAGAAUUUCGAUCAUCGUUCUCAAUAUGUAAAACGUUUUCUGAAUCUUUAUAUUAGCUGUUCCAUCUUUUGCAGCGAAUUUUGUGUAGCUGUGCAUGAGUUCUUGAUCUUACAACUUUCAAGUGCAUCAAGAAUAUUGGAAGGUAUGCAAAAACUGCUUUUCUAAUUACAUUCUUGAUCCUGCCAAGCUUGUUAGUAGUGCGACAGAGUUUGCUAUGAAUCUUUUCUCUUACAAGCAGAUCAUUGGAAGUGAUUCUUGGAUUCUUGUUCAUAGUAUUAGCUGUUCCAUCUUUUGCAGCGAAUUUUGUGUAGCUGUGCAUGAGUUCUUGAUCUUACAACUUUCAAGUGCAUCAAGAAUAUUGGAAGGUAUGCAAAAACUGCUUUUCUAAUUACAUUCUUGAUCCUGCCAAGCUUGUUAGUAGUGCGACAGAGUUUGCUAUGAAUCUUUUCUCUUACAAGCAGAUCAUUGGAAGUGAUUCUUGGAUUCUUGUUCAUAGUAUUUGCUUUAUUUUUUAGUGUGUUGGUUUAUUUAAUCUGUUGUGAGGUCAGUACGACAGUUUCAAAAUCAUUUGCUUUUUAUCUCGAUUCUCAAUGGGCAUAUCGAGACUCGUAAUGGGCCUAAAUUGGGCUUUCACAUUGACUAGGCUUGCCCAAUGUUUUCGCCCAAUCGAACCCAUUGUGGACCCGUAAGCAGCCCAUUUCUUGUGGCGUACGCUCAACCCUCAUCCAAACUGCACCCACGUGUCUCUCUCUCGUUCACUCAGAGGCUUCGGAGGCCUCCGUUGCGCCCACUCGUCCCUGCUUGAUAGACCUCGACCCGUCCGCCGUUGGAUCAUCGUCCAUCACGUAUCCUGUCCGUCCAUUCCCCCCACUAACAAAGUCCUGUCUCCCGUCCUCUCUUCCCCGCUUCACCCAAGGAAAGAGAAGAGAGCCGAGAUGGCCACCCUCCGCCCGUCUCCCAUCGCCCUCGCCCCCGCCGCCCUUUCAUCCGUCGCCGCCGUCCCCGUCUCCUCCUCCCUCCGUCGCGUCCGCCUCCCCUCCGCCCCCCGCCGCCUCCCCUCACUCAGGGUCGCCUACCCCUCCUCCCGCCGCCCCCGCCGCGGCGCCGUUAUGAUGGAUACCGCCGCGUCGAGCUACGCGAACGCGCUCGCCGAAGUCGCCCGGUCCAACGGCACCCUGGAGGUGACGGUCACCGACAUGGAGAAGGUGGAGCGGGUGUUCGCCGAUCCGAAUGUCCAGUCCUUCUUCGCCAACCCCACGGUGGCGCGCGAGCGGAAGGCGGAGGUGGUGAAGGAGAUCGCCGCCUCCAGCGAGCUAUGCCCCCACACGGCCAACUUCCUGAACAUCCUCGUCGACAUGCGGCGCAUCGACAUCAUCGAGGACAUCGUGAAGGAGUUCGAGGUGUGCUACAACCGGAUCACCAACACGGAGGUGGCCGUCGUGUCAUCGGUGGUGCGGCUGGAGUCGCAAGACCUCACCCAGAUCGCCCAGACGGUGCAGAGGCUCACCGGGGCCAAGAACGUGAGGAUCAAGACGGUGCUCGACCCCUCCCUCGUCGCCGGCUUCACGAUCAGGUAUGGGCCAUCAGGUUCCAAGUUCAUCGACAUGAGCGUCAAGAAGCAGCUCGAUGAGAUCGCUUCGCAGCUCGAUUUCUCCUCCAUCACC